GUUACAAACUCGAUGAUUUAUUUCUCUCUGAGUGCUGCUGCCGACACAUGCAAACACUCUUGAGUCCGGUUCAGCUGCUGUGUCUUUGUCCGUCCCUGUCAGAGCCGAACCGAACCGGAUCAUGCUCCGGUCCUGCUGUGUUUACGGCGCAGGAGUCCUCUGCGUUCUGCUGUUAAUCGCCGGGAUUGCGAUGGCUUUAACGCAGGUCUUCCAGAAGCUCAUAAACAACACAAUAAAAGAGCAAGUAGUUCUGGAAAAUGGAACGGAGGCGUUUUCGGUGUUUCAAAACCCACCGCCGCCGGUUUACAUGCAGUUUUACUUCUUUAAUCUGACCAAUCCUGCAGAGGUUCUGGAUGGAGACAAACCCUUCGUCCUGCAGAUCGGCCCGUACACGUACAGGGAGUAUCGGCCGAAGGAGGAAGUGAAAUUUCUGGACAACGGAACCAGAGUGGAGGCUGUUAAUCCGAAGACGUACGUGUUUGAGCCCAACAUGUCACGCGGAUCUGAGGACGACAUCGUCCGAACAGUCAACAUCCCCGCUGUGACCGUGAUGGAGAAAGCCAAAGGUAGAUGGUUUGAAAGCUUCGUCAGUGCCUUGAUGAAAUCAAACAACAUCGGUGUGUUUGGGACGUUCAGGGUCGGUGACCUGCUGUGGGGUUACGAAGAUCCGCUGCUUAAAUUAAUCAAAAAAUUAAUCACAAUGGAUGACCACUUCGGACUUUUCUAUAAGAAAAAUGGCACCGACGACGGUGAUUAUAUUUUCUUCACGGGGAAGCAGAAUUAUCAGGACUUUGCUCGUAUAGACAAGUGGAACGGACAGAGUACAUUGAACUGGUGGAGUACAGAAGGGUGUAACAGGAUCAACGGCACUGACGGAGCAUCUUUCCAUCCAGUCAUCACAAAAACAGAGAAACUCUAUAUAUUCUCCUCUGAUCUGUGCAGGUCUAUAUAUGCCCAGUACGAGUCUGACGUGAGCGUACGAGGGGUUCCCGGUUUCCGCUUUGUCCCACCCAGCGAGGUUUUCGCCAAUCUUACGAUUAACCCGGAUAACGCAGGCUUCUGUGUGCCGGCCGGGAACUGUCUCGGCUCCGGCCUCCUCAACGUCAGCGUCUGCCAAGAAGGUGCGCCCAUUAUCAUGUCCUCCCCUCAUUUCUACCAGGCAGAUGACAGAUUCGUCCAGGAUGUGUUCGGGAUGAAUCCCAACAAGGAGGAGCACGAGACGGUCAUUGACGUCAACCCGCUCACUGGAAUGUUGCUUCGGGGUGCGAAGCGUGUUCAGGUGAACGUCUACCUGCAUCAGAUCCAGGGAUUCAGUCAAACUGGCAAGAUCCGGAUGCUGGUGUUUCCAGUGAUGUAUCUUAAUGAGAGCGUCGUUAUUGACGAGGAAUCUUCCAAGAAGCUGUAUGCGGUUGUUACCGAGGCUAAUGUGAUCGUCAACAUCCCCUUCAUAGUGAUCAGUGUAGGCAUCUUACUGGGCGUCAUCUUCAUCGUGUUCAUGUGCCGACAGCAGAUGCCACCGAGCACCGAGGCCGAGCGUCAGCCCCUGCUUUCAUCGUAAACUCCCCAGACAUCAUGAUGAGCCAACAUGCGUUUAGACAUUGAGCUUGAUUUCUUUUUCACACGGCCAGAGUCGGUUCAAGGAGCAUCGGUGCAUGCGGCAGACGACUCAAAGUGCAAAGUUUGUCUCAGGUCACCUGGCCUCGGAUCCGGAUCUUUCAAACGUGUUUUUAAUGCAUUUAAUGCUUCAGAUGAUUGAUUGAGUAUCGCAGAACCAAAUAGCGCAGGCGUGUCCAAAUCAGAAAAAGAGUUUCAUGUCCUAAACUGAAUUAUAUAUCAGAAAACACUAAUAGAGACAGCAGACGUGAUGCAACACGUUACACAUCAGUGCUCGAGAUAUUGAUGUCACCUGUACACAUCACAACGAUAUUAAUACACUUAUGCAAUUGCAAUGAGCUCAUCUGACAAAUAAACUGACAGCGGUGCCAACUCAUGCUGAUUUCAGGACUAAUGUAAUGUAGUCUGCUUCACGUGAAUCUGAAAAGUCAAUAAUGUGCCACACGCAUUUUAAAAUCACUAAAUCCUUUUUUAAAAUGACCAAAUAACUUGUUUUGGUGCCAUGAUGUAUUUGCGCUUGUUAUCUCCUCUGCCAUAUAAGUGAUUUUCUUAGAUGCAAACCAAGAUUUUGAUGGUACAUUGGCUCAAGAAUGUUUUUAGAGUCAGCUAAUAACACUUUUACAAUAUUUCUGAAAGAAAUGGACCAUAAUCACUAAUGUAAACUCUGUUUGCAACUCUACAAUUUCUUGAAUAACCAGACACAACCUUGUUUUCAGUGUUCAGUAAAUGCAGCAUCAAGUGUUUCAUCAGUAUUACCACAGCAUUGAGAAGAUUCGUUUUCUUGAACGUUUCAGUUUCCUGAAUAUAUUUAAUGUUCAUUUUCAUGCACUGAUCGGUUUAGUUUUUAUUUUUGUUUAUGUUUAAUAAACCUCAUGUCCUGCAUGGUUCAUUUCAUGUUUUAUUCUUGCAGGUGUUUGGUGGCAGUUCAUGGCUGGUUUGGUGUUUUUUUUAGGUCUGAAAAGGGAAGAUUUGAGGGUUGCUAAUUUUGUUUCAGUGAAGUACAGAAUAUCACUAAAGUACGUUGAUCUGAAACUGUGGUGUGAUUUCAGUUUCACUUUAGCUUGACAGUAAAUGUACUUUUCCCAGGAUGGAAAUCUUAAUUAAAUCUCAUGAUUAUGAUGAUUGUGAAAUGAUAAUGUGAACUGUGUUUAUGAAUUAAGACCCAGUGUUGAUGUUAGCUGACUGUUUUAGGUUUAAAAAAGGAAUGUUCAUGAUUGAUUCCAUUUUUAAAUUCAUUUUUUAUGCAUUUAUUUCAUCAUAACCAUGAGAUU